CUCCUACGGGAGGCAGCAGUAGGGAAUUUUCGGCAAUGGGGGAAACCCUGACCGAGCAACGCCGCGUGAAGGAAGAAGGUUUUCGGAUUGUAAACUUCUGUUAUAAAGGAAGAACGGCGGCUACAGGAAAUGGUAGCCGAGUGACGGUACUUUAUUAGAAAGCCACGGCUAACUACGUGCCAGCAGCCGCGGUAAUACGUAGGUGGCAAGCGUUAUCCGGAAUUAUUGGGCGUAAAGAGGGAGCAGGCGGCAGCAAGGGUCUGUGGUGAAAGCCUGAAGCUUAACUUCAGUAAGCCAUAGAAACCAGGCAGCUAGAGUGCAGGAGAGGAUCGUGGAAUUCCAUGUGUAGCGGUGAAAUGCGUAGAUAUAUGGAGGAACACCAGUGGCGAAGGCGACGAUCUGGCCUGCAACUGACGCUCAGUCCCGAAAGCGUGGGGAGCAAAUAGGAUUAGAUACCCUAGUAGUCCACGCCGUAAACGAUGAAUACUAAGUGUUGGAUGUCAAAGUUCAGUGCUGCAGUUAACGCAAUAAGUACUCCGCCUGAGUAGUACGUUCGCAAGAAUGAAACUCAAAGGAAUUGACGGGGGCCCGCACAAGCGGUGGAGCAUGUGGUUUAAUUCGAAGCAACGCGAAGAACCUUACCAGGUCUUGACAUACUCAUAAAGGCUCCAGAGAUGGAGAGAUAGCUAUAUGAGAUACAGGUGGUGCAUGGUUGUCGUCAGCUCGUGUCGUGAGAUGUUGGGUUAAGUCCCGCAACGAGCGCAACCCUUAUCGUUAGUUACCAUCAUUAAGUUGGGGACUCUAGCGAGACUGCCAGUGACAAGCUGGAGGAAGGCGGGGAUGACGUCAAAUCAUCAUGCCCCUUAUGACCUGGGCUACACACGUGCUACAAUGGAUGGUGCAGAGGGAAGCGAAGCCGCGAGGUGAAGCAAAACCCAUAAAACCAUUCUCAGUUCGGAUUGUAGUCUGCAACUCGACUACAUGAAGUUGGAAUCGCUAGUAAUCGCGAAUCAGCAUGUCGCGGUGAAUACGUUCUCGGGCCUUGUACACACCGC
rnacentral:rRNA from 1 species